rnacentral:rRNA from 1 species
CCUACGGGUGGCUGCAGUAGGGAAUCUUUCACAAUGGGCGAAAGCCUGAUGGAGCAACGCCGCGUGCAGGAUGAAGGCCUUCGGGUUGUAAACUGCUUUUAUAAGCGAGAAAUAUGAUGGUAACUUAUGAAUAAGGAUCGGCUAACUACGUGCCAGCAGCCGCGGUCAUACGUAGGAUCCGAGCAUUAUCCGGAGUGACUGGGUGUAAGGAGUUGCGUAGGUGGCAUAAUAAGUAGCUAGUGAAAUCGGGUGGCUCAACCAUUCAGACUAUUAGCUAAACUGUUAAGCGCGAGACCGUUAGGGGUAACUGGAAUUUCUAGUGUAGGAGUGAAAUCCGUAGAUAUUAGAAGGAACACCAAUAGCGUAGGCAGGUUACUGGGACGGUUCUGACACUAAGGCACGAAAGCGUAGGGAGCAAACGGGAUUAGAUACCCGGGUAGUC